AAAGACGUAAAUACCAGCAAGAGAAAAAUACUCGGAGAAAACUGAACUUCUCUUCUUUCUGUGCAAAAAUAAGGCACAAUGCCCAUUCAACUCCAUGUCUCACUGAGAGUACAGGUGCUGUGAGGGAAUGGCAUUAUGGGGACUCAGCCCUAGCUGGGACCCUGCCUGAAGGAUAAGUAAAAAGGAAAGAAAGGAAAACACCACAUCUUCCAAUACACUGUUGAAACGUUAUACACUUCUCUGGUCUCUUUAUUUAGGCCAUCCAACUGUAUU